UACGAAGGGGGCUAGCGUUGCUCGGAAUCACUGGGCGUAAAGGGUGCGUAGGCGGCGCGGUAAGUCGGGUGUGAAAUCUCGGAGCUUAACUUCGAAACUGCAUUCGAUACUGCCGUGCUUGAGGACUGGAGAGGAGACUGGAAUUUACGGUGUAGCGGUGAAAUGCGUAGAUAUCGUAAGGAAGACCAGUGGCGAAGGCGGGUCUCUGGACAGUUCCUGACGCUGAGGCACGAAGGCCAGGGGAGCAAACGGG
rnacentral:rRNA from 1 species